GCGUGCGGGAAGAAGGCCUUCGGGUUGUAAACCGCUUUUGUCAGGGAAGAAAUCCUUUGAGCUAAUACCUCGAAGGGAUGACGGUACCUGAAGAAUAAGCACCGGCUAACUACGUGCCAGCAGCCGCGGUAAUACGUAGGGUGCAAGCGUUAAUCGGAAUUACUGGGCGUAAAGCGUGCGCAGGCGGCUAUGCAAGCCAGAUGUGAAAUCCCCGGGCUCAACCUGGGAACUGCAUUUGUGACUGCAUAGCUCGAGUACGGUAGAGGGGGAUGGAAUUCCGCGUGUAGCAGUGAAAUGCGU
rnacentral:rRNA from 1 species